UCACCCUGCUGCCGGCUUGCAG
rnacentral:miRNA from 1 species